UUGUUUUGAGGAGAGAUGGAGUAGAGAUUCAGAUUUUGGAAUUGAUUGUUCGGGUUUUGGAUUUGAUUUUGCUUCAAAAUGGAAUCAGGGAAAAACUGCACAGAUUAGUCUUCAAAAGCAAUCAAAAUUGCUUAUCUUCGUUUCUUUCCGUUAUCCAAAAUGGAAGAUCCAAAUCGAAAAUCCAAGCCGUUAGAGUUCUGGAGUCAAUUUCGAUCAAUAACGAAACCAAACGCUUCGUCGCAGAAACGCAUAAUCUCAUGCCAGUUCUUUUUCAUCUCCUCAAAACAGAGAACGAUCCGGCCUUACACGACUCAGUUUUAUCUCUCUUGAUCUCAAUCGCCGUAACUCGCUCAAUCAAGAUUCAAAUCGUCCAGCUCGGACUCAUUGAAGUCCUAUCUGAAACUCUCUGCAACAAAAACGUAACCGUUUCACUCGUGGAGAAAUCCUUAAAGCUGUUAUCCAUUGUUUCGACGUGCACGGAAGGUCGAAAUGCAAUAAGCGAGGACCCGAAAUGCGCGGAGUGUAUGGUAGAGAAAUUAAUGAAGGUGACGAAAGCGGCAACGGAGGAUGUUGUAGUGGUGCUAUGGAGUUUGUGCUGUUCGUUCAGGGACGGGAAGAUGCAGGAGAAGGUGAUGAGGUGCAAUGGGUUGACCAAGUUGUUGCUGGUAAUGCAGAGUGAAGGGGAAGGGAAUGUAAGGAGGAUGUGUGCAGAUUUGGUGAAGGUUUUGAGAGUUGGGUGCAAGGAUGGUGGGGUGCUGAUGAGCUAUGAGACGAAAACGACACAUAUCAUGCCUUUUUAGAUUUGUAAUUCCGAACAGUGCCAUAUUUGAUUUUUUAUGAUUUUAGGGAGGAUGUGAAUUGGUGUUUUUGUUGACAUUAACAUACAUUCAACAAAA
rnacentral:misc_RNA from 1 species